rnacentral:rRNA from 1 species
UACGUAGGGGGCAAGCGUUGUCCGGAAUUAUUGGGCGUAAAGCGCGCGCAGGCGGUUUUAUAAGUCUGGUGUGAAAGCCCACGGCUCAACCGUGGAGGGUCACUGGAAACUGUAAGACUUGAGUAUAGGAGAGGAAAGUGGAAUUCCAUGUGUAGCGGUGAAAUGCGUAGAUAUAUGGAGGAACACCAGUGGCGAAGGCGACUUUCUGGCCUAUAACUGACGCUGAGGCGCGAAAGCGUGGGGAGCAAACAGGAUUAGAUACCCUGGUAGUCCACGCCGUAAACGAUGAGUGCUAGGUGUUAGGGGUUUCGAUGCCCUUAGUGCCGCAGCAAACGCAAUAAGCACUCCGCCUGGGGAGUACGGCCGCAAGGCUGAA